rnacentral:rRNA from 1 species
UAGGGAAUCUUCCACAAUGGACGCAAGUCUGAUGGAGCAACGCCGCGUGAGUGAAGAAGAUCUUCGGAUACGUAAACUCUGUUGUUAGAGAAGAACACGAGUGAGAGUAACUGUUCAUUCGAUGACGGUAUCUAACCAGCAAGUCACGGCUAACUACGUGCAG